rnacentral:tRNA from 1 species
GCCGGAAUAGCUCAGUUGGUAGAGCAGUUGCUUCGUAAGCAAUUGGCCGUUGGUUCAAAUCCAAUUUCCGGCACCA